ACCGCAAGGAGCCGCNUAGGGUAAAACUAGUGACUGGGGCUAAGUCGUAACAAGGUAGCCGNNCCGGAAGGUGGNNGCUGGAACAUCUCCUUUCUAGAGAAAGUAUGACGACUGAAUUUUGGGCUUUUUAGGUUUGUGUUUUGCUAAUAGCNGUCAUCUUAAUUAUCAUGAAGAGUCUCGUAGCUCAGCUGGUUAGAGCGCUACACUGAUAAUGUAGAGGUCGGCAGUUCGAGUCUGCCCGAGACUACAAAAAUGAUAAAAAUGGGAAUUUAGGGUUGUUAAUUCAUUCAUACUGAAUUCUUCAGAAUGGGGAAUUAGCUCAGCCGGCUAGAGCACUUGAUUUGCAUUCAAGAGGUCGUGGGUUCGACUCCCACAUUCUCCACAAGUUUUAAUAAAAACUAAACGUUCAUUGACAUAUUGAAAAUAUUUAAAUCACAAACAACAGUUAUCCAAUUUGUGUUUGUGAUNUUAGAUACACUAAANAGUAUAAAAUAUAUAUUUAUAUAUAUGGAUAUACGAGCAAAUUAAAUAAUAUAAGUAAAUACAAUUUUAAAGAAAAGUAAAGUUACGAUAGGNUUAAUUAAGAGCNNAAGGGGAAUACCUUGGCUCUCANAGGCGAUGAAGGACGUGAUAAGCUGCGAAAA
rnacentral:misc_RNA from 1 species